UGUCGCCUCCCUCUUGUUAAGUUAUGUGAUCCUCUCCUCUCUUCGCUUUUCGUAUUCAAAAUUUUCGUAUUCAAAAUACUUUCCAUACACAUCUCAAACCCACGCAUACACUAUAAGUCACCACAAGGCAUCUCCGUGGCUUGUGGUCAUCAUACCUGGUGGCAAACAUAGUCUGACAGGAGUGGGGCAAUGAGGCUCUCCAAUUUAAAGUGCGGGCAUAAACAAGAAAGUCGCCGUUCCAAAAGGUUGCCAUUCACUUGGGGAGUUGGGAGGGUUAAGCUUUAUGGACCACUUGGAUAUAGGUGCCAAUUAACCAACUCCAAGGAAUGUUUUUGAUUUGUUUAUAUAUGCAAGUGUACAUGUUAUGGAAGAUGAUAAAAUACGAUAAGUUCCUUAUCUAAAUGAUUGAAACUUCAUCAAGAUAAUAUAAGAAUGAGAAUUGUUAUGUAAUAAUUCUAAUUAGAGGUCUUUGACUAUUGAUAGUCUUAUCUUUAAAUAUUCCUAUCACCAGUCUCAUCUUUCAUCUAUUUUCCCUACAACGGUCCCCCGUUAAAAAAACUUA
rnacentral:lncRNA from 1 species